rnacentral:rRNA from 1 species
AGUGAACGCUGGCGGUAGGCCUGACACAUGCCAGUCGAACGGCAGCACAGUAAGAGCUUGCUCUUACGGGUGGCGAGUGGCGGACGGGUGAGGAAUACAUCGGAAUCUACUUUUUCGUAGGGGAUAACGUAGGGAAACUUACGCUAAUACCGCAUACGACCUACGGGUGAAAGCAGGGGAUCUUCGGACCUUGCGCGAUUGAAUGAGCCGAUGUCGGAUUAGCUAGUUGGCGGGGUAAAGGCCCACCAAGGCGACGAUCCGUAGCUGGUCUGAGAGGAUGAUCAGCCACACUGGAACUGAGACACGGUCCAGACUCCUACGGGAGGCAGCAGUGGGGAAUAGUGGACAAUGGGCGCAAGCCUGAUCCAGCCAUACCGCGUGGGUGAAGAAGGCCUUCGGGUUGUAAAGCCCUUUUGUUGGGAAAGAAAAGCAGCAGGUUAAUACCCCGCUGUUCUGACGGUACCCAAAGAAUAAGCACCGGCUAACUUCGUG